rnacentral:rRNA from 1 species
AUUGAACGCUGGCGGCAUGCCUUACACAUGCAAGUCGAACGGCAGCACGGGAGCAAUCCUGGUGGCGAGUGGCGAACGGGUGAGUAAUAUAUCGGAACGUGCCCAGUCGUGGGGGAUAACGUAGCGAAAGCUACGCUAAUACCGCAUACGAUCUAUGGAUGAAAGCGGGGGAUCGCAAGACCUCGCGCGAUUGGAGCGGCCGAUAUCAGAUUAGGUAGUUGGUGAGGUAAAGGCUCACCAAGCCGACGAUCUGUAGCUGGUCUGAGAGGACGACCAGCCACAAUGGGACUGAGACACGGCCCAGACUCCUACGGGAGGCAGAAGUGGGGAAUUUUGGACAAUGGGCGCAAGCCUGAUCCAGCAAUGCCGCGUGCAGGAUGAAGGCCUUCGGGUUGUAAACUGCUUUUGUACGGAACGAAACGGCGAGCUCUAAUACAGCUUGCUAAUGACGGUACCGUAAGAAUAAGCACCGGCUAACUACGUGCCAGCAGCCGCCGUAA